GUAGAGUUGCAGCGAGAGAAUGGUCGCCUGGGACACUGAACCUCGUGCUAGGAGAAUUUAGUGGAAUAUACCCCUUAACACCAAACUUUAGCUGUGAGGAGUGAAAUCAACAAAUAGCUUGUGAAGCAGUGGUCCUGGGCGAAUGAACAGUACAGUAGGCCCUCGUGUAACGCAAGAGAUGCGUUCCGGGAAAGCCUCGUGCUGCAUGAUCACGCACAUGUGUAACUUGAUUAUAAAAUGGGAAAAUGUAGGGAUGAAUUUGAGAUUUCCUUCCCCAAAAAAGAUAUUUCCCAUGUGCCUUUCAAUAAACACCUGAUUGCUUAUUACCAAAUACUAUACUGUAUUGUUACUUCCUAGUCUCAAAUAUACUAUAUAAAGUAGAUUUGUACACAGUGAUGCUGAAUGGACAUUACAUAUCAUUUUUUAAUAGAACAUUUUUGGAUACAGCAGAACAUGUCAGGGUCAGUAAUAUAAGAAUGCAAUUCCUUAAUGCAAAAAACAUUUUGUUUCAUGAUGCAAAAGAGGAAUCCAAACGGGAUACUGUAAAUUAAAACUUGAUGCGCAUGUCAUGCCGAGAACAAAAUUCUUUAUUUGAACAUCUGCCCUAACUCUCACAAGGCACAGGGUCUACUGUACUGUACAGUAUAAAGUUAUGCUGGGUUAGGUUAGGUUAGCAUUCAAUGGUAUUCACGCUUGGCCUUGAAUGCUUUUCUAUUUUUCCAUUCUUAGUUCAUUUUCUAAUGUUUUUUUCAUUAUUGUGGCUAUUUUGGCUGCAUGGUGAUCAUAGCAACUAGUACUGUGAUCAGCAUGCAGUGAAAUUUAAUCUACUUACUAUUCAGGAGAAUAUUUGUGUUUUUAGUUAUUACAUGAUUCACUGCACUAGUUGGGGGUGAACAACAUUUCCUUGCUGUACAUCCAUUUUCAAAUUUUCUUCCAUUUUUUACGAUUAUUGCCUGCCUUUUUUAUACAAAAACAACAUAUGUACUGUAUUAAUAAUGUGAUGCUCAGAUGACAAACUUGGCAUAGCUGUAAAAACAAAUAAAACGUGUACAAAUAUUUUCACGUUUUUUUUAGUACAGUACGAAACGUACCUUGCAGUGUGGUUAUUUGCCUAGUCACCCAUGAGAGGCCAAAUUGUGUGUCCUUUCUAUGUUAGUGAAUGAGUUUGCAUACAUUAUAUGCAGUACAAUUAGUAGCAAACUAUACAAAUUAACUCUGAUUUAGUAUUUCAGAAAUGGUGCGGGGUACUGAUAGCAUACUCCUUUGUCACAGUAUAAUUUUUCCCCAUUUUGAUGUUUCUUGCAUCCUCCUACUUGACUAAUACUUGUAAAAUUAAUUAAUUUUACCAAUUAAUUUCAAAUGAUUGCUAAAUUAUUUUAUAUUGGAUUAUUCUUAAUAUAGUGGAUGUGAAGUCUGGUCCAAAAUGAUUCUUACAUGAUUGGCUGGAAAUUUAAGAGCCAGUUGGUGGAAUUAAAAUCUUGCAUAACAAAUCGCCAUUCCAGAUGAUCAUAUUCCACUCAAUCAGGCGUGUGGUGUACUCGAAUAUGAUAGGUUUGUUAUGGUUAUUUAGCUUGGGCAGUGCUAUUUCCUUCUAUAGUGAGCCAAACUGCUGGUACUGUAUUACUAUUUCCGUAUGGUAGUCCUAACAAUAAUAAACCCCAAAAAUGUA
rnacentral:misc_RNA from 1 species